UAUUUAACAAAAACGUUUGUCAAAUUAAAAUUUCUUUUUUGAAAUUGUCUGUGAUUGAAGACUUAAUACUAUGGCAAAAACCUUUUCACCUUAUCAUAUUUUGGCAUUAUGUUUGGGUAUUUUCUUGUUAUCUUUAUUGUUAUUAUUACUGUUUUGUCAAUACAAAAGAGAUACUUUCAGACAUAGGAAAAAAAGCGAGUUCGUUUGUAGCGUCAAUUAAAGAAGCAAUCUAAAAAACAUAAAUACAUAUAUUAAAAAAAGAAAUCUAGCAACAGUUGUGCUGGUCAAAUUUUUGUUGAAGAUAUUUAAAUA